CCUACGGGGGGAGCAGUGGGGAAUAUUGGACAAUGGGCGAAAGCCUGAUCCAGCCAUGCCGCGUGUGUGAAGAAGGCCUUCGGGUUGUAAAGCACUUUCAGUGGGGAAGAAAGCCUUGGGGCUAAUACCCUCGAGGAAGGACAUCACCCACAGAAGAAGCACCGGCUAACUCCGUGCCAGCAGCCGCGGUAAUACGGAGGGUGCGAGCGUUAAUCGGAAUUACUGGGCGUAAAGCGCGCGUAGGCGGUCUGAUAAGCCGGUUGUGAAAGCCCCGGGCUCAACCUGGGAACGGCAUCCGGAACUGUCAGGCUAGAGUGCAGGAGAGGAAGGUAGAAUUCCCGGUGUAGCGGUGAAAUGCGUAGAGAUCGGGAGGAAUACCAGUGGCGAAGGCGGCCUUCUGGACUGACACUGACGCUGAGGUGCGAAAGCGUGGGUAGCAAACAGGAUUAGAUACCCGUGUAGUC
rnacentral:rRNA from 1 species